GCUUUUCCAUGUAAUAUCUGCAUAUGUUGUCAAAAUUCACUAUUUAAUUUUUCAGUUCUUGAUUUUUGUUUUUUACUUUUCUCAUUUUUAUUGAAUCAUUUUUCUCAAGUAAAACUCUUAAUUAAGAUGAUUAAAUUUGUGUUUAUUUGUCUGAAAAUGACAAUAUCUGCAGUGGGGAUCCAUUAUUUUUGGAGCCAUUUUGGAUGGAGCAUGCAGCUAGUAGUGCAGUUCUUAUUUCAGGCUGGCACCGAAUGAGUUACACAUUUUACGACAAAUCUUUCAUUUCACAACAACUCGAAAACCACGUUCGUAGAGUACACGAAGUAGCGAAAAAACGCGAUUACGAAAGGAAAAUACGUAUUAUUUGGUGUCGGUUCCACACAACUCCUUGCUGCAGCUGUGUAUGCUCUUUCAAUGAACCUAUCUUCGCCUGCAAGCGUCGUUGCAUCUUCUCCUUACUAUCCGGUACGUUGCCGUUAACAAUCAAAAUUAUAAUUCUUUUUUUUUUUUUUUUUUUUUUUUUUCUCCGAAGUGGAUGAUUAGAAUCGGAUGUAUAUAUAAGUUUUCUGGAAAUUUCAAUUUUGAUUCAAUUUAAAUUUCUACCUAAAAUAUGAACACUGCCCACAACUUUGAUACUUUAGGUUAUGUAAAAAAAUUCAACAUUUUACUCAUUCAUGCAUAAUUUUGUCAUCCGACAUUCAAUCUAGCCGAUUCAAAGUUGGAUUAGAAAGCUAACUGAAACAACUAAAGUUUCCAUGUUUUCAUUUCUGCCAAAAUCAAACUAUAAAAUGGUCAAAAUCACGUUCAAUUUUAAAAUGGUAUUAGUAAAACCAAAACGACAUUUAACAUUUCAGCUUUUUUAAAUUCCCAUCCAAUUACAACCCCUACUUGCCAUCAUAUGCUACUAUUGCUUUCCGUGAUUUUUCGUUUAGUUCGUACGAGAUGAACAAGUCUCGUAUACCGUCUUCUAUUUUCAGCUUUACAAAUUUCAAACAAAUUAUUUCGAAAACAAGCGCUUCAAGUUUGACGAAGACACAUCAUUGUCGAGUAAUUCAUCGUAUAAUACUGAGGCGAACGUGAUCGAAUUUGUGACAUGAUCACCAAAUAAUCCAGACGGAAAUCUAAAGGAGGCCGUUUCACAAGGACCGUUAGUGAAAGUUAUUUACGAUCAUGCUUACUAUUGGCCUCAUUUUAGUGCAAUUCCAUCCCCAGCUAAUGAAGAUGUCAUGAUAUUUACCAUGUCCAAACUCACUGGUCAUGCCGGAAGCAGAAUCGGGUAAGAAUAUAUAAAACCCCCUUUUUUUUUAAUAAAAAACCCCGUUUCACGAUUUUAAUAUGGAGAAAUCAAGGUAUAUAAACAAUCAAGUAAUUUUGCACGGUCACUCGUUUUCUUGACAAGAUAAGUUAUGAUUAAUUAACUAACUGAGCUUUAUUUGAUGUCUAGUUAGUCCAAUAACUUUUCGGGCCAAUCUAAAAAUUACACAUCGACUCGAAAAUUUCGGGAAGAACGAAAAUCUUAGUUCAAUUUUGGAAAAAAAUGUUUAUUAGACAUCGUAAUCCAACUAUGCAAUUUGACUUUCGCACCCGUAAAUAUUGUCCAUUAAUUAAGCUUAAUCCUAGUUCCGAAACAUGGUCUCAUAAGACUGCAUGCGUAAUCUUAUCUUGUCUAAUCCUAUCUUCACAACCAAACGAGCCUUAAGAAUACAAUGACUCGGUAAUAGACAAGAGUAUUACGAUAUUUGACGAUGAUAUAUUUAUUUUCCACAGAUGGGCUUUAAUAAAGGAUGAACAAGUCUAUGAAGAUAUGAACACAUAUAUAUCGAUAUCGGAAAUGGGGAUUUCAAGAGAGGCUCAACUUAGAGCUCUGCAGCUUGUGAAAGCUAUUCUUAACGGAAACGGCACCGACAUUUUCGAUUACGCGUACGAGAAAAUGAGCUAUCGUUGGAAAAAACUAAGUGAGAUUGUGUCGUUGUCGAGCCGUUUUAGCAUCCAAGAAAUUCCGCCACUAUUCUGCAACUUCUUUGAGAAAGUUAGAGGACCAUCACCAGGUAAUUAUUAACCCCUGUGGUUACAAGCUUUUGCAGAUGACCCCUUAUGUUUUUAAUAUCAGCACAUAACCCCGUCGUGGUUGAUGGGGUAGCUUCCGUUAGUUUUUCCGUCAAAUUUAACCGCUAGUGUCAAACGUCAAAGUAAUUUUUUUGCAGAUGAACCCCUUGUGCUUUCAUCUUCCCUUUCAUUUUUGCAGAUGACCCCCUUAAAAUCUGACACACGCGGUUAAGUUUGACGGAAAAAAUAACGGAAGUUAUCCCCAUAAAUCACAAGGGGGUUAUGUGCUGAUAUUACGAGCACAUGGGGUAACCUGCAAAAGUUUGUAACCAGAGUGGGGUUGAAAUGCUAUUUACCCUUAUUAAUUAUCAAACCAUAUCCAACAUUAUAAGGGAGUUUUUGCUAAUAAAUAACUUAACAUGGGAAGUUUUUAGCAAUUCGAUAUAAUAUAAGGGUACCAAACGCAAUAAACUCAAAAUUCUUACAUCUAAGAUAUAAUUUGACCCAUGCUAUUUCUUAUUAACAAUGGCAGCUUAUGCAUGGGUGAAAUGUGAAAGAGAAGAAGACACAAAUUGCAAUGAAGUCCUUCGAGCAGGAAAUAUUUUAGGUAGGGAAGGUAGCUUGUUCAGUGUCGAAGAUCGUUAUGUUCGACUCAGCCUUUUGAAGAGCGACUAUGACUUCAACUUACUUAUGGAUCACCUCAGCAAAUUAGUCGCCGAGGAAAACGGAGCAAAAACCGCGUGAAUAUUUUAAAUGAUCGAUUAAUCUCGAGUUUAUUAGUUGUUUGUAAGUGAUGAGAAGAGGUCAUGUCUAUUGACCUUUCUCUAUGUACAAUAGCAAAUUUAUAGGUCUCAUUAGUUAAUGUUGUAAAAUAUCUCAUUAACUAGUCUUGUGGUAUAAAAGAAGUUUUUUAUAAUUGUAUCUUUGUUAGGGGUGGAAAUUUGGAACCGAAAUUUCAAUUUUCGAUGAUUUCGAUAUGAAAUUUUAUAAUUUUGGAACAAUAUUUUUCAUUGUGAAUUUGAAUUUUCCGACUUCCGAUUUUUCUGAAAUUAUUUGGAUAAGAAUCGGAAUACAUUUGAGAUUCCAAUUUUUGAUCAGAUUUAAGUUCCGAAAAAAUUUCGGGGUUGUUUCAGAAUAUUAAAAUCAAAAUACUAAUAAUAUUAUGUAUUUUAUAUUUGAAGUGACCAAAAAUUAAAGUUUUUCGAAUCCCGAAUUAUCGAUUUCUAAAAUUAUAUGUAUCGGAAUUGGAAUAUAUGUAAAAAAUUCCGAUUUCCUAUCCGAUGUAAGUUCCAAACAUUUCGGGUUUUUUUUUUUUUUUUUUUCUUGUUCAGAAUAUUACACUUAAAAUACUAAAAUUUAUAUUUUAAGUGACCAAAAAUUGAAGUUUUCUGAAUUGCCCCGAAAUUUUCCGAUUUUGGAACAUGCUAUAUCAUUCCGAUUUCUGAAAAUUUCGAUUUCCAAUAUCUUUGGAACAGAAUUAGAACUAGUUUAUUCACUUCCGAAAAAAAAUAGCAACUUUUCCAAAAAAAGCUAAUUCCGAUCCGAUCAGACGGUGUAAUUUACACCCCUAAUCAUUGAAAUGAUACAAUUAAAGUACAAAACACAGCUCAUCAAUAAAACACAAUAAAACCUAAUGGCUAAAGAGAAGAGAAUAUUUUGUUCUUGUUAACUUCUCUUGCCCUUAAUUUCUCUCUCAUCACCAAUCAAUAUUUGGGCAUUGAGUUGAAAAGCCAGAAGCUGAGUUGGAGCUUAAAAGCUGCUGCAGAAGCAGAAGCUGUUGCAUUAAUUUCUUGUUCUGGGCAUGGAAAAGCUUUUCUUGAUGGACUUAUUGUUAAUGGAAAUCCCAUCUGUGAGUGCAACACUUGCUAUGGUGGCUCUUUUUUUUCACCUGAUUGUUCUGCUGAUGCUAACAGGUUAUUUAUUUAUUUAUUUUGUUGUAAAAUGGCCUAUUUAUCUAGCUCUUUGGUUUGUAUUUGUAGAAAUUCAUAAGAAUGUAAAUAACAAGACAAUAAGAGAAAGAGAGAAUGCAAGGAACAACAAUCCGUAGAAAUUGUGUGUAUUUAGGGGAGGGGAGAUUCUCAUUUAUAUAGGUGUAAUCCACCGGAAGUUACAAAGAAGUUACAUAGGAGUUACAACCACUACAAUGUGUGGGGAUAAUGGGGUAGUGGGAAGUUGAGAAUUUAUAGUGGAAUAUGGAGGUUACAACCUCUCAUGUCUUAGGAUAGGAAGACCCACUUUUCCAUAUUAUUUACAACACUCCCCCUUGGGGAUUCCUAUCAAAACACUACUGUGCUUUUCAUGUUGCCUCGUUAAAACCUUCCGAGUAAUAAAAACCCAGUGGGAAAAAAACAACCUCGAUUAGGAAAAAGAGUACAACGCACAAUCUUUCCAAUCAGCAUGUGUUGCCUCGUUAAAACCUUGGCGAGUAACGAAAACCCCGUAGGAAAAAUAAACCUCGCACAAAGGAAAAAGAGUACAACAGGGCACCCGGGUAUCUUCUGGAUACUGAGUACCUACACGGUGCUCCCCCUCAAGUUAACUCCCCCUGAUAUGUACAAGAGAGUGAGCUCGGAUAAUCUACUCAAGUCAAUAGCCUUAACAUGUUUUCAAAAGUUGACUUUAGGCAAAACUUAUUCUUAAAGUUGGAGCAAUUAUCUCAAAUUUUGAUCUGCGGGAUCAUUAUUUGUUUAGGCUAUUGUUGUUGCUGAUUGAAGAAAACUUCAAAGCUAUGUAUAUGGAGUUGUCACUUUAAUGAAGCUCAUCUUCAUUUGCUCAAUGCAUACUGUAUUACAGUAAAAUACAAUCUCGUAUUAGGAUCUUCUGUGUUAGUCAAUUCACAGGAAUCUCAAACAUGCCUAAUCAUGGCUUCAGGCCAAGUGCAUUCACUCACUAUCUUGUGAAACAAACAUCAUGCAUGAUUUGAUCUAGUGACAACCGAGGUACAUUUCAUAGAACCCCAAGACAUAGCUAUUUUCCCAAUACUUAACCAUGGAUUGGGAACAAGCCUUUUGUGGAUAUGACUUCUAGUCAAUGCCAAUAUAAACCACAAGUUUCGCCUCAUUCAUUGAUACAUAGGGCGUGUCGGUAAGGUGAGAUAAGUCUAUCAUAUAAAUUUACCGAAAAAGCUAAAUCAUAUCGAGUACAUGGAGUUAAGCAUAAUAAUGCAUAUAUUACAUUUACAUAUGACACUUCUGGUGCUAACACUUCCUCGUCAUGCUCCAUGGGACGGAAUGAAUCAUUGGACCUUUUCCACUUUCCAGCUCCCAUAGGUGUUACUCGAUAAUUUCUCUUUAUCCAUAACAUCUUCUCGAUGUAAUUCGAUUGAUGGACAUAAAUAUAAUUGACAUGAUAAUUUUAAGUUGGCAGAGACAACAAAUUAGUCUCAUUUAGAUCUUUGAUCUUGAACUCAAAUUUUCAACAAUUGAGUUUCUCUUUCUUGAUUUCUUCAGGAGUCCAAAUCAAGUUCAUGUCCUUAAACAUAAAUUGUAGUAAUGGGAACAAUCAAAAUCAAUUAUUGUUCACAUAUUCUCUUCCAGAGCAAUUACUCACUUAGGAUAUUAUCAUAUUCUUCCGGAAUAUUUCAAGCCUCAAUUUAAGUAAACGUCUCAACCCAACUAAGUUUAUGUUCCGUGGUCUGGAACUAAUUGUUUCGGGGAAACAUAGUCCUUGAGGGACUUUCAUAUAAAUAUUUGUAUCUAGAUCCCCGUAAGAUACUUUGUGACCACGAAUUUAAUAACAUUCACCAUGAAAGAGUAUACCUCUUUAAAAUCAAUCUCGGGUUGCUGAGGAAAUCCUUGAACUAUGAGAUGAGUCUUCGAGCUCCCAAUCUCAUUUGCUCUUAAAUCAUUGUACAAUGAGAUGAGUCUUCUGGCUCCCAAUCUCACCGAGCUAUGAGAUAAGUCUUCUGGCUCCCAAUCUUGUUUAAUUUAUGAGAUGAAUCUUCUGGUUCCCAAUCUCAUUUCAUUAAUUGAGUUAUGAGAUGAGCCUGGCUCCCAAUCUCGCUUGAGCUAUGAGAUAAAUCUUCUGGUUCCCAAUCUCAUUUGAGCUAUGAGAUGAAUCUUCUGGUUACGAAUCUCAUUUGAGCUAUGAGAUGAAUCUUCUGGUUCCCAAUCUCAUUUCAUUGAUUGAGCUAUGAGAUGAGUCUCCUGACUCCCAAUCUCGUUUAAGCUAUGAGAUGGAUCUUCUGGUUCCCAAUUUCAUUUCAUUCAUUGAGUUAUGAGAUGAGUUUAAUGGCUCUCAAUCUCGUUUGAGGUAUGAGAUGAGCUUUUUGACUCCCAAUCUCGUUUGAGGUAUGAGAUGAGCUUUUUGGCUCCCAAUCUCGUUUGAGGUGUGAGAUGAGCUUUUUGGCUCCCAAUCUCAUUUCUUUCCUUUGUGAGUACUCACUUAUAUCCCAUGGGUGAAAUUCAAGGAGUUGUAGGAACUACUGGUCUCUACACUCUUCAUUUUAUCAAGGAAUCAAAUUCAGCUUGGAUUGAUUUUUGUUUUCAUUUCGGCCAUCAUCCAUUUGUUUACGCUUAUCAAUUGAUCGAGGUUUUAUAUCAUCACUCGAUAAAAAGUUCAGUAGCUACUGUGUAGAGAAGUUUAUCAUCGAUGAUCAUUUCAUCCCAAUACCACAUCUCAUUCAUGCAUGAAUAACUAAUCGAGUUUUUUCUAUUCACGUGAAUGGAUAUUAAUGUCGAGGCGUCCCCCGACUUCGUCUACAGGACGAAUCCAUAGUCCGGAAUUAGUUUAUGAGAUGGAUCAGGUGGGAUCCCAUUUGUACCACUGCUAACCGGAUUCGAUUGUUGGACAUUCAUCCACUUCCGGGGGUGAGAAUCCUUUGGUCCCAUUGCGCUCCCCCUCUCCUAGGAAGGGAUACAAGACUUGUUAGCAUGGAUUGAUGGCCUACCCGUCAUUGUCCUUCUAGGGCAUCUAUCCUUGCAGGCUUAUUUGAGAUCUCGUCACUUUUUCAAACCAUAGAAUGAGUCUGGCAUAAUUCGCCAUACACGACUUCACGCUAUUCUUCCGGAACAUUAGUGUUGACAUUCUUUGCAGAUUUAGUAGUCGUCCCACACGACUUCACGCCGUUCUUCAGGAACGUUAGUGUGGAUGAUCUAUUAAUCUAUAUACCAAUUCUCUGAAGUAAGAGAUCUUGAUGAGACACGGUGGGGUCGUCUCACACGACUUCACGCCGUUCUUCAGGAACGUUAGUGUAGACGUUUUUUCCUCCCCCUAACGGCGGGAAGACAAUCUCAUCAAAGUGACAGUCCGCAAUUUGAGCGGGUAAGAGAUCGCCUGUCUAAGGUUCUAAAUUUAAGUUAUAGAUGGUGAUACAUAUUUCACAUAUAUCUUCUUGGAUUUCUUCCAAAAAAUAUUGAAUCAUUUCAUGUAGGUGCAUAUGCUGACAUAUAAUCAAAUUACAAACAAUCGACAAUUUAUGCUUCUGGCAUUCAAAUUGUGGUUCUACAUAACCGUGUCGAAAAAUUCCUCUAAUUUUCCCAAUGUACGCUUCUGGUCGUACAUGUUAGAGAUGAUGCACAUAUAUUCGAUUUCUUGGCUUCAAUGAUUUCAACAUAAUAACCAUUAGCUCAAAUAUCUUUAAAGUUUAAUAACGUUCUACUGGAACGUGGAGGAAAAAUAACUACUUUAAUGGCAAAAGUUGUGCCAUAUGAUAACAUAAUGUGGACAUUACCAUAACCAUCUAUCAAAACUACACCGGCCUCAUUUAGUUAUCAAAGAGGUCUUUGCUACUACUAGACAUGAAAUUAAUAAAAAUACGACUUAUCUCUAAGGAUAGUAUGUGUAGUCGCACUAUCUGCCAGACAUUUAUCCCCACAUGUCAUGUCUAGAGCGUUAUAUAUUCUAAUCACAUAUUUUCAGUACUUCAGGUACUAAAUAAAUUCAUCAAGCAAACACCACUGAAUAACAUAAUAAUUAACUUAGAACACAUAGUGACAUAAAUAUAUGAUCCAGAGCAUAAACUAAACAUAAUCAAAAUACGAAUAUAGUUCAUAACAUGAGCAUAUGAAGUAAGAUGAUUGAAAUUCAAUAAACUAAUAAACCCGAGUAAUAAAAUAAACAUAAUGCAUGAAAUCAACAGUUCAAUUAUAUCCCAACAAGGGUUAUUUGGUCAGAUGUGCCCAAGUAUGGAGGCUGAGUAGUGACGCGCUAUACAUUGAAAACAUUUACCUCUACCAACUCAGUCUAUGUUGGUGUAUUAUUAUUUGUAUCUCCAGCCCCAACGUUCUUCGCACUUCAGGUGCGCGACCAAUGCUUAGAUCCACCAUAUAUAAAACAUAUAUUUAUGUUCUGAUUUUGAGCUCUAUUCGGAUUUUAAUGUUCAUAUACAAAUCGUUUAUGAACAUUUGCUCCUUGCUUCAGGCAAGCGUAUUGUCUUUUGGUAAUCAAAACGACUAGUGAGGUUAUCCCAUUCUUUAUGGGGACCCUUGUUUGAUGAAUAGUCCAGACGAAGGACUUCAUCUAAUUAUCUCGUAAUCAGAAACAUAGUCUCAGCCUUCUGGGCUUGACCUAAUAAAUUAUACUCGAAAACAACCAUUCUCAAUUGCUCACUAAGCUUAUGGAUCUUAACAUCCAUUCUCCAACCAACAAAACUUUCACCAAAUACAUUAAGUUGGGUAAACUCGAGUUUGCUCAUGUGUUUUAUCUCAAAUCAAAUACAAUAAGGAGUAUUAUUGUUUUAUGGGAAUGUAACCUCCAUAAACAAUUUCAUGAAUAUUUUGCACAUAUUAGAACUUCCGGUCUAAUAAUUCAUACACCACAUGUUCAUACACACUCAUGGAUUUCAUACGAUAAACCAUAACGACAAACGAAAUAUUGCUUACCAUAUUUAUGUCAUAAAAUUACAUAUGGCAAAUAAACUAUACUUCAAUCGAGAAUUCUGAAUUAGAGAUUGACCAAAGUCUUUAUGCAAUCAAGACAAUGUAAAUUUGCCAAACAUUAAAGACAUAUAGCAUGCUCUAAUAUAGUAUAAAAGAUAACCAAAACCGUAUAACUUGUCAUGAUAUAAAUCAUAAUUAUCAUGUAUAUAUAUCUCAUACAAAUUCCACGAACUAAUUUGAAAUGACUGAGAUAGUUAAUUACCAAUUACCUAAACAUAUCCAUAAUUUAAAAUUCAUACAAUCACAUCGGGCACAAGUGAUAAUACGUUAAGAGCAUGAGACAAAAGAAUAUAUACCAGAUUUCAUCACUUUGAAUCUCAAACAUUGAAUCAUCACAUAUAGCAAAAUACAUAGAAUCAUAUAGCAUGAGUGAGACGGCAAAAUUCAUGACAAUAUUUCAUACUUGAACAUCCAAUACUUUUGCCCGAUAACAAGAAAUCAUUUCACAUGCUCAGAGCAAUUAUUAUAUGAAAUAUGAAGGCAUUUUAAUCAUACUAUUCACAGAAUAAGGACUACCAACCAGGUCAUGUUUUCAAAUCAUCCACGGCAUAAAUGAAGUAAUGACUUGAACAUAAAGUUUAUUCAUAAAUUCCAUGCCACUAAAUAGAUCUAUCAUGCAUCUCUUACGAAAUCAAAAUUUCAAGGAGAUUAAAGUUUAUUUGAAACACUUAAAUCCAAAUAUUACGAAGAAUAUAAUAUAUUUUUUUCGAGAUUACCGUUUCACAUAUAAACCUGGGUCACAAGUUCUGCAAGUAACCUUGUCCCACGAACAAUUACCUUUCCACGAGCACCUCGAAUUCUUCAAGUAUCAUCGCCCCAUAAACAAUUGUCUUUCCACAAUAACAACGAGCACUUCGUGCUGAUAACGUGUUGUAAAAUGGCCUAUUUAUCUAGCUCUUUGGUUUGUGUUUGUGGAAAUUCAUAAGAAUGUAAAUAACAAGACAAUAAGAGAAAGAGAGAAUGCAAGGAACAACAAUCCGUAGAGAGAUAAUUGUGUGUAUUUAGGGGAGGGGAGAUUCUCAUUUAUAUAGGUGUAAUCCACCGGAAGUUACAAAGAAGUUACAUAGGAGUUAUAACCACUACAAUGUGUGGGGAUAAUGGGGUAGUGGGAAGUUGAGAAUCUAUAGUGGAAUAUGGAGGUUACAACCUCUCAUGUGUUAGGAUAGGAAGACCCACUUUUCCAUAUUAUUUACAACAUAUUUAUUAUUUUUUAUAAAAAUCUAGUUAUGGGGUGGGGUCUAUUAUAUUUUGUGUGUGAGUGUGUUACAUGUUGCUAGAAAUUGGUGUACAAAUUAUGUUCAGAUGAAAAACAGGGAAUAUAUUAACACUAGAAUCAAGAAAGUGAAGUUGACUUUUUAAGUGAUUUAAUUAAGGGGAAAUUACGAAAAACCCCAUGAACUUAGGCUAAAUUACGGAAAACGCAUCAACCUAUCUGUAAUUAUCAAAAUUCCCUUGCCGUUUGUUUCCAUCUUACACCGACUCCAUUUUGGUGUUAUUUCACGGAAAUUUUCCGAUUCCAAUGAAUAUUUCACCGAAAAAUGCCGAGCUUAAUCCCACGAACGUAACAUUUUCUUUAUGCUACUUUUUAAGGACAAAAAUUACCUUCAGAUAGGUCAUGAUAAUAAUACUAAAAAUUUGUGAAUGUUUUAAGAAGAAUAAAAAUUCUAUGUAAAGCGCCCGAGGGUAAUUUUUGCCUGAAAAAAGUAGCAUAAAGAAAUGUCACUUCAGUAAGAGUAGAAUUCGAAACUUUUCAGAAAAUAUUUCCCUGGAAUAAAAAAAGAAUCGUGAAAAAUAACACCAUAAGGAAGUCGGUGUAAGAUGAAAGCAAACAUUAGGGAGAUUUUGGUUAUUACAAAUAGGUAGGGGUGUUUUUUGUAAUUUAGCUUAAGUUUAGGGAGGAUUUCGUAAUUUACCCCUUUUAAAUUUGAAGGGCAAAGUUUAUUUUGAAACCCUUAGACUUAUAUGUUGUGUACCUAUCUACCCCUAAACUACAAAUGUACCAUUUCUAGUCCACCUAUAUAUACUACUGAUACUGAUACUGAUGUGGUGAGUUGACUGUUUUUUAAGACUGUUUCCUUUUUGAAGACAAUUUUGUCUCUUAGUUAAAAAAAAAAAAGAUAAUAUAUGGAAGAUUUUUGGUAUGUUUCAUAGUAUAAGGGGUGAAUGCGACGCACCCUAUAGUUGACUAGGUGCAAAAUGUAAUUUUGCACUAAAUUAAAUUAACUUUAAGAUAGCGAAUAUCUUAUAUUGGCUGUUCAUUCUGAUGUGGCAACCAAACGAGGCCUAAGAGUGAAAAUAUUUGCAGUGGGGAUCCAUUAUUUUUGGAGCUAUUUUGGAUGGAGCAUGCAGCUAGUAGUGCAGUUCUACUUCCAGGCUGGCACAGAAUGAGUUAUUCGUUUCCCGACAAAUCUUUCAUCUCACAACAACUCGAAAAUCAUAUUUUCGAGUGCAUGAAGUAGCGAAAAACGCGAUUACGAAAG
rnacentral:lncRNA from 1 species